rnacentral:rRNA from 1 species
AUUGAACGCUGGCGGAAUGCUUUACACAUGCAAGUCGAGCGGCAGCGCGGGGGCAACCCUGGCGGCGAGCGGCGAACGGGUGAGUAAUACAUCGGAACGUGUCCUUCAAGUGGGGGAUAGCUCGGCGAAAGCCGGAUUAAUACCGCAUAAGCUCUGAGGAGGAAAGCGGGGGACUGGUAACGGCCUCGCGCUGUUGGAGCGGCCGAUGUCGGAUUAGCUAGUUGGUGGGGAAAGGCCCACCAAGGCGACGAUCCGUAGCUGGUCUGAGAGGAUGAUCAGCCACACUGGAACUGAGACACGGUCCAGACUCCUACGGGAGGCAGCAGUGGGGAAUUUUGGACAAUGGGGGCAACCCUGAUCCAGCCAUUCCGCGUGAGUGAAGAA